UCGUGUUCAUUUUGGAGUUUGUUCAUCUGACCAGUUUAAAUGUAGACGAUUAGACAUUUUUGGUUAGCAUGCAAACAACCGUAGUACUUAAUUACCUAAAUUCCAUACAUUUAAGUGGGAUUCUUCUAUGGUUUUCAACCCCUCCUUUCACAAAUCCAUUCUCCCCACCCCACCUUUCUCCUACAGAGGUCGUUCUCCUGUUUUAUUACUACUUCGUCGCACAAUGUUAAGGAUGCUAUGGGUACACGAAUAACAUAUCCAAAAAAACAUGAUCUUGAAGACACUUAGCAUAGGAGUAGAUUAGGGCAUCUAGUGCUCUGUUCAUCAUACUACUGACCAUACUUAGCAUAGAAAGUUCUAAAACUUCCAAACUUAACUCAUCAGAAUCACAGACAGAUUACCACAGGUCAGGUCUGAAGGACAGGCUAAACAACAUGAUAUGCAAGACCAGCUCCUUGCAAGACAGAUUACCACAGGUCAGGUCUGAAGGACAGGCUAAAACUUCCAAACUUAACUCAUCAGAAUCACAGACAGAUUACCACAGGUCAGGUCUGAAGGGCAGGCUAAACAACAUGAUAUGCAAAGCUCCUUGGCUUCCAGACUUAACAGUCAUCAGAAUCACAGACAGAUUACCACAGGUCAGGUCUGAAGGACACGCUAAAACAUGGACGAGCUACUUGGCCUGAAGACUGAUGCUGGAGACCUCCUUACCUGAAGAACGAGCAUACUUGAGCUUUAUCUUCAAAUGAUUAACAAUACAGCAAAAUGGGAUUAGCCUAAAGCAAUACCUGAACCCUAUGGCUGGAGAGCAGAAAUGCGCAUUCUAAUGUGCAAAUGGCCUUUAAUGACAAAAAUACAGUUGGGGUCCAUCAAUUCAUCCCAUUGGGUCAGAUACAGAUCAUUUACUCCAAAGGGGAUGCCUGUUGUAAAUGUGUGUUCAAACGAGAUACAGUCAACAUACGCCCCAUUUGGUCGUGUGUCCUCACAGAGAAUGUGACACUCAG
rnacentral:lncRNA from 1 species